rnacentral:rRNA from 1 species
CCGGAGGAAGGUGGGGAUGACGUCAAGUCAUCAUGGCCCUUACGGCCAGGGCUACACACGUGCUACAAUGGCGCGUACAGAGGGCUGCAAGCUAGCGAUAGUGAGCGAAUCCCAAAAAGCGCGUCGUAGUCCGGAUCGGAGUCUGCAACUCGACUCCGUGAAGUCGGAAUCGCUAGUAAUCGCAAAUCAGAAUGUUGCGGUGAAUACGUUCCCGGGCCUUGUACACACCGCCCGUCACACCAUGGGAGUGGGUUGCACCAGAAGUAGAUAGCUUAACCUUCGGGAGGGCGUUUACCACGGUGUGAUUCAUGACUGGGGUGAAGUCGUAACAAGGUAGCCGU